rnacentral:rRNA from 1 species
UACGUAGGGUGCAAGCGUUAAUCGGAAUUAGCUGGGCGUAAAGCGUGCGCAGGCGGUUUUGUAAGUCAGAUGUGAAAUCCCCGGGCUUAACCUGGGAACUGGCGUUUGAAACUACAAGGCUAGAGUGUGGCAGAGGGGGGGUGGAAUUCCACGUGUAGCAGUGAAAUGCGUAGAGAUGUGGAGGAACACCGAUGGCGAAGGCAGCCCCCCUGGGUUAACACUGACGCUCAGGCACGAAAGCGUGGGAGCAAACAGG